rnacentral:rRNA from 1 species
CAAAAAGCCACUAAGCUUCAGCUAUACACGACCGUACCGCAAACCGACACUGGUGCGCGAGAUGAGUAUUCUAAGGCGCUUGAGAGAACUCAGGAGAAGGAACUCGGCAAAUUGACACCGUAACUUCGGAAGAAGGUGUGCCCUAUUAGUGUGAAGUGAACAACGGAGCAUGAAUGGGUUGCAAAAAAUCGGUGGCUGCGACUGUUUAUUAAAAACACAGCACUCUGCAAACACGAAAGUGGACGUAUAGGGUGUGACGCCUGCCCGGUGCUGGAAGAUUAAAUGAUGGGGUGCAAGCUCUUGAUUGAAGUCCCAGUAAACGGCGGCCGUAACAAUAACGGUCCUAAGGUAGCGAAAUUCCUUGUCGGGUAAGUUCCGACCUGCACGAAUGGCGUAACGAUGGCCACACUGUCUCCUCCUGAGACUCAGCGAAGUUGAAAUGUUUGUGAUGAUGCAAUCUCCCCGCGGAAAGACGGAAAGACCCCAUGAACCUUUACUGUAGCUUUGUAUUGGACUUUGAACAGAUCUGUGUAGGAUAGGUGGGAGGCUUUGAAGCAGGGUCGCUAGAUCUUGUGGAGCCAACGUUGAAAUACCACCCUGGUGUGUUUGAGGUUCUAACCUAGGUCCAUUAUCUGGAUCGGGGACAGUGCAUGGUAGGCAGUUUGACUGGGGCGGUCUCCUCCCAAAGCGUAACGGAGGAGUUCGAAGGUACGCUAGUUACGGUCGGACAUCGUGACGAUAGUGCAAUGGCAUAAGCGUGCUUAACUGCGAGACUACAAGUCGAGCAGAUGCGAAAGCAGGACAUAGUGAUCCGGUGGUUCUGUAUGGAAGGGCCAUCGCUCAACGGAUAAAAGGUACUCUGGGGAUAACAGGCUGAUACCGCCCAAGAGUUCAUAUCGACGGCGGUGUUUGGCACCUCGAUGUCGGCUCAUCUCAUCCUGGGGCUGUAGCCGGUCCCAAGGGUAUGGCUGUUCGCCAUUUAAAGAGGUACGUGAGCUGGGUUUAAAACGUCGUGAGACAGUUUGGUCCCUAUCUUCCGUGGGCGCUGCAGAUUUGAGGAAGCCUGCUCCUAGUACGAGAGGACCGGAGUGGACACACCUCUGGUGUAUCGGUUGUCACGCCAGUGGCAUUGCCGAGUAGCUAAGUGUGGAAGAGAUAACCGCUGAAAGCAUCUAAGCGGGAAACUCGUUUCAAGAUGAGAUCUGCCGGGGCCUUGAGCCCCCUGAAGAGUCGUUCAAGACCAGGACGUUGAUAGGUCAGGUGUGGAAGCGCAGUAAUGCGUUAAGCUAACUGAUACUAAUUGCUCGUGCGGCUUGACCAU